GAUUCGCCAUCAUACGUCCAACCGUGCAUUUGAUAUGCAUAUAUAUGCAUCACGAGCCACGGUUGGGCUGUAUGAUGGCGAUACCGAUUGG
rnacentral:pre_miRNA from 1 species